UUCUAGGUUAAUUAUGCACAAACAACAGCUAAAGUCAAACCAGAUGGCUCACGCACUUAGUCGGGGAGAAAACAUUAUUUCGUAGGACAAAUUAAUUCAAAGAAAAACCGAUAUAAAAUUAUCAACGAAUUAACAUCACAUUUCGGUGAAUAAUAUCUAAUGAGGUUCAUGUUUGGUUUACUAUCUUAGUGAAAUUUUUUAUUCAAAUUCCUUUUUAAGCGAAUAAAUAUCAAAGUAAAUUGAAUCGUCUGUUACCACACUGUUUCCAUAUGCGCUCCCUUACCAUGUUCUUCCACAACUUCUGCCGACUCCAUAAGUGGCAGCUAAUAAAACAUCGCUGUUCUCAAUAACCCUAGUCUUUAUCUAGUCUAACCAGUCGUUUGAGAAGCGCCUCACUGGACCAUUGUCUUCUUUCACCUGGCGCUUCUCUUCUUCAUCACGCCUGUAAGGAAAUCUUGCUGCCAUUUGUGUAUUCCAUGGAAAAAGUGCUGGGCAAACAAACAUUCUCUCUAUUCUCUGGCAAAGGUUAUUAAUUCUACAUCUUGCAGAUUGUUACAAAAGAGGAGUUCAUGAUACUUUUGUCAUACAAUACGCAACACAUCUAUGGUCUUGGACCCUUUACAACACAUCUGACCAACGGUCAAAUAGCUGACCCACUGAGCCAUUCCAAACAAUCCGUCACAAUCACUGAAAUGAUGUCCACUGUGGAAAUUACCAGUAACGAAUGAAGAACUUGAGAAGUUGAUGGGAAACAAGUGAAAAGGGGGUUGCCACUUGGAAAA